rnacentral:rRNA from 1 species
AUUGAACGAUGGCGGCAGGCCUAACACAUGCAAGUCGAGCGAGCGGAGGACGGGUGAGUAAUGUAUGGGGACUGCCCGAUAGAGGGGGAUAACUACUGGGAACGGGGGCUAAUACCGCAUACUAUCGGAUAACCCAUAUUGGAUUAGCUAGUAGGUAAGGUAAUGGCUUACAUAGGCGACGAUCCCUAGCUGGUCUGAGAGGAUGAUCAGCCACACUGGGACUGAGACACGGCCCAGACUCCGACGGAGGCAGCGGUGGUGAAUAUGGCACAAUGGGCGCAAGCCUGAUGCAGCCAUGCCGCGUGUAUGAAGAAGGCCCUAGGGUUGUAAAGUACUUUCAGUCGGGAGGCGUUACCGACAGAAGAAGCACCGGCUAACUCCGUGCCAGCAGCCGCGGUAAUUC